GGAGCAGGCGGCCGCAAGGGUCUGUGGUGAAAGACCGAAGCUAAACUUCGGUGAGCCAUGGAAACCGGGCGGCUAGAGUGCGGAAGAGGAUCGUGGAAUUCCAUGUGUAGCGGUGAAAUGCGUAGAUAUAUGGAGGAACACCAGUGGCGAAGGCGACGGUCUGGGCCGCAACUGACGCUCAUUCCCGAAAGCGUGGGGAGCAAAUA
rnacentral:rRNA from 1 species